UAUAGCGGUUAUGGCGAGAAGGAUCCACCUGUUCCCAUUUCGAACACAGAAGUUAAGCUUCUCAGCGCCGAGGAUAGUGAAGGGUUUCUCUUUGCGAAAGCAGGACGUCGUUAUGC
rnacentral:rRNA from 1 species